rnacentral:rRNA from 1 species
ACCCUUAGAUGUCCUGGGCCGCACGCGCGCUACACUGACGGGGCCAACGAGUCCUCCCUUGCCCGAAAGGGCCGGGUAAUCUUGUUAAACCCCGUCGUGCUGGGGAUAGAGCAUUGCAAUUGUUGCUCUUCAACGAGGAAUGCCUAGUAAGCGCGCGUCAUCAGCGUGCGUUGAUUACGUCCCUGCCCUUUGUACACACCGCCCGUCGCUACUACCGAUUGAACGGCUCAGUGAGGCCCUCGGACUGGCUCGGGGAGGCUGGAAACGGCCACCCCAGGCCGGGAAGUCGGACGAACUCGGUCGUUUAGAGGAAGUAAAAGUCGUAACA